GCGUGUGUGAGGGAGGGAAGGAGCUCGCAGUGGAGCUCGCAGCCCGCGCCGCCUUCCCGCAGCACCAGCCAGGCCCUGCCGCCGCCCGCAGCCCUGCGACGAGUCCGGGCCGAGCCGAACCGAGCUGGAUCAGGCCGGGGCCAUGCUGCUCACCGUGUACUGUGUGCGGAGGGACCUCUCCGAGGUGACCUUUUCCCUCCAGGUCGACGCCGACUUCGAGCUGCACAACUUCCGCGCGCUGUGCGAGCUCGAGUCGGGCAUCCCCGCAGCCGAGAGCCAGAUUGUCUAUGCUGAAAGACCUCUCACAGACAACCACAGGUCUCUGGCUUCUUACGGCUUGAAAGACGGAGAUGUCGUGAUUUUACGACAGAAGGAGAAUGUGGACCCUCGACCUUCAGCGCAGUUUCCAAACAUACCCCGAAUAGACUUCCGUAGUAUAUCUGUGCCCGGCACCUCGAGCUCCCGACAGCGGCAGCCGCCCGGAGUCCAGCAGUCCCACUCAUCUCCCGGAGAACUGGCUUUAUCUCCGCAGGGCUUGGAUAACCCAGCCUUGCUCCGAGACAUGCUGCUGGCUAACCCCCAUGAGCUGUCCUUGCUGAAGGAACGCAACCCGCCCCUGGCAGAUGCUCUGCUCAGUGGAGACCUUGAGAAAUUCACUAGGGUCCUGGUGGAGCAGCAGCAGGACCGAGCCCGGAGAGAGCAAGAAAGGAUUCGUCUCUUUUCUGCUGAUCCUUUUGAUCUUGAAGCUCAGGCAAAAAUAGAAGAAGAUAUAAGGCAACAGAACAUUGAGGAAAACAUGACCAUAGCUAUGGAGGAGGCUCCGGAAAGUUUUGGCCAAGUAGUGAUGCUUUAUAUUAACUGCAAAGUGAAUGGACAUCCUGUGAAAGCCUUUGUUGACUCAGGUGCCCAGAUGACUAUUAUGAGUCAAGCUUGUGCGGAAAGGUGUAACAUAAUGAGGCUGGUGGAUCGUCGGUGGGCAGGGAUCGCCAAAGGAGUGGGCACCCAGAAGAUUAUUGGAAGGGUGCAUCUAGCUCAGGUUCAGAUCGAGGGCGAUUUCCUGGCGUGCUCCUUCUCGAUCCUUGAGGAGCAGCCCAUGGACAUGCUUCUGGGACUGGACAUGCUGAAGCGACAUCAGUGUUCCAUUGACCUCAAGAAAAAUGUACUCGUGAUCGGCACCACAGGCUCCCAGACCACCUUCCUCCCCGAGGCAGAGUUACCCGAGUGUGCCCGGUUGGCAUACGGGGCCGGGCGGGAGGAGGUGCUGCGGCCGGAGGAGAUUGCAGACCGAGAAUUAGCAGAAGCCCUUCAGAAGUCCGUACAGGAUGCAGAGAAAAGUGGUGAAGAAACUACCUCACUGGGAAUGUCAUCGUUACCAACUUCAGAUGGAUUUAACCAUCCGGCCCGUCCUUCAGGACAGAGUCCUGAGAUUGGCAAUCCUGAGGGUCUCGCUCACUCUGUCUCUGCUUCAGUCUGCCCCAUCAAGCCCAGUGACCCAGACAGCAUCGCACCGAACGCUGUGAAGGCCUCUAAGGCUACCACUGAAUUCCAGAUACCCUCUGAAAAGAAAGAGCAUCUUCCUCUACAGGAUCUCUCUGGUCCUGCUUCUCCAGCAGACUGGAGUCCGGCUAUGCCCUGGCAGAAUUCACCCGAGGAAGCCACUGUUGCAGAUAAUCUGGAGCCAUCUCCUGCUGAAAGAAGCACCCAGAGCCUCAACUCUCCUCUCCACCCAACACAGGAAGUGUCUGUCACAGCGACUAGGAUGCAAGAACCACAGAGGUUUCUAGGGGAAAAGGGUUGGCAUCCAGAAUGUCAGACUCUGAGUCAGGUGAAUGGCCUUCAGCAGCAGGAGGAACCAGGGAAUGGACAUCAUGAGGUUGUACAACAGAACGUGCCACAUGACCGAGAACAUCUUUGUAACAAGGGGGACCUUGAACUUCUUGGAGAAAGGCAACAGAAUCAACCAAAAAGUGUGGAUAUGGACGCUGCGAUGAAAGGAGACGGGCUGCGGCAGGAUAUGGACCUCCCAGGUGUACAGAACAGUCUGCCCUCAGGGUGCUCUGACUGCUCCAGUUCAGAGACACUUAUGGAAGUAGAUGUAGUUGAACAGCCCCCACUCGCUGUGCUUAGUUUGGCAGGCGGUCAGAAUGCCAAUGUCAAGAGCGUCAGUGCAUCUGAUCUCACCUCAGAUAACCCCUUGAUGGAAAUGGAAACAUCAAAAUGCAACCCUUCGUCUGAAAUCUUGAGUAGUUCCAUUUCCACUCAGAAUUUACAGCUCCCAGAAAGUAAUGUGGAAAUGUCUGGAACAAAUGAAGACUGUGGGAAUUGCUCCCCCGCCGUAAGUCUCUGUGGCAGUUGUCAGCCCUCUGUGGAGUCAGCAGAGGAAUCUUGCUCCUCCAUCACAGCAGCCUUGAAGGAACUUCAAGGACUUCUGGUCACUAGUAGUAAACCAGCUUCAGAAAUUACAUCUGAAGAAGUUAUCUGUCAAUCAGAAACAGUAACUGAGGGCCAAACAAGUCUGGGGGUCCUUUCUGAAAGAUGGAUCCAGAGUGAACAGUGUUCACAGGUCUCCUUUCAUCAGGCCACAUCUGUUUCAGUAAAGACAGAAAAAUUAGUAGACACUUCAGCUGGCACUGGAAUGGAAGAUGUAGAAGAUAAUAACUUCAGGGGUCCAGCUGAUGGCCUACUAACUGACUCGGAAGGUGCCCCCCAGUCUACAGAAUCAGUAAAUGAGAGCAGUUCUGUCAUUCUAGCCUCAGCUAAAACGUCUAAUCAAUUACACUGCACCUUAGGUGUAGAAAUUUCACCAAAACUUCUAGCAGGUGAGGAGGAUGCACUCAAUCAGACUUCGGAGCAAACUAAGUCCUUGUCAUCAGAUUUCAUAUUGGUUAAAGAUUUGGGUCAGGACACACACAAUCCAGUGACAGAUGGGCCUGAGACCAGAGAAGAUGUCUGUCCUGAAGCUGCAGGGCCGCUUGUUGAAUUUGAGCCACCUACCAGCUCUCCAUCAUCAAGUCCCUCCAUUCUUCCCCCAUUGCUUUUUCCUGCUGCAGACAUUGACCGGAUUCUCCAUGCCGGCUUCACUUUGCAGGAAGCUCUUGGGGCUUUGCAACAAGUUGGCGGAAAUGCAGACCUUGCACUUCUUAUUUUGCUAGCAAAGAACAUUGUAGUUCCUACGUAACCAUGGAAAAGUGGGCUAGACCAUACUCCAUUCCCUUGGGGAAAAAGCUAUUAUACACACAUACACACAUUCACCACAUAUACAGUAUAUGUACUAGUAGAAACCUGCAAGCAGAAUGUUGAGCCAGAUUUUUUUUUUUUUAAGAUUUUUUUUCAGCCAAAGUAAUUUAUGAUCUCUUGUCUGAUGAAUUUGUCUAUUUGUUAAAAUUUGGGCCUUUUUAAAUGUAAUGGCAGUAUAUGUAUACAAAAGCGUUUUAUUCUCAUUAAGAUGAUGUAUUCUGGAAUAAAAUUGAUGGCUUUGUGUUUAGCAUACCAUUUUAGAAUGAGAGUGAGUCUUUGAGAAGCAGAAGCCCUGAGAAAGCCCACCACCCAUGCAGCUGAGAGCAGCUCAAGUUCACACUUCGGCUGUGUCUGUGCCACAGGCAAGGAACUUUCUGAAGAAAAGUGAUGUGUAAAACAUUUGAUAUUUAAGACAAUAAAGUUUUUAUCAUAA